UCCCUCUUAGCUCAGUUGGUAGAGCGCGUCACUAGUAUCGUACUUGGCGAGUAGUAUGACGAGGUCAGUCGUUCGAGUCGGCUAGAGGGAA